rnacentral:rRNA from 1 species
AUUGAACGCUGGCGGCAUGCCUUACACAUGCAAGUCGAACGGCAGCACGGGAGCAAUCCUGGUGGCGAGUGGCGAACGGGUGAGUAAUAUAUCGGAACGUGCCCAGUCGUGGGGAUAACGUAGCGAAAGCUACGCUAAUACCGCAUACGAUCUAUGGAUGAAAGCGGGGGAUCGCAAGACCUCGCGCGAUUGGAGCGGCCGAUAUCAGAUUAGGUAGUUGGUGAGGUAAAGGCUCACCAAGCCGACGAUCUGUAGCUGGUCUGAGAGGACGACCAGCCACACUGGGACUGAGACACGGCCCAGACUCCUACGGAGGCAGCAGUGGGGAAUUUUGGACAAUGGGCGCAAGCCUGAUCCAGCAAUGCCGCGUGCAGGAUGAAGGCCUUCGGUUGUAACUAGCUUUGUACGGU